rnacentral:rRNA from 1 species
UACGAAGGGUGCAAGCGUUACUCGGAAUCACUGGGCGUAAAGCGUGCGUAGGCGGUUCGUUAAGUCUGCUGUGAAAGCCCUGGGCUCAACCUGGGAACUGCAGUGGAUACUGGCGGACUAGAGUGUGAUAGAGGAUGGUGGAAUUCCCGGUGUAGCGGUGAAAUGCGUAGAGAUGUGGAGGAACACCAAUGGCGAAGGCAGCCUUCUGGGCCAACACUGACGCUCAUGCACGAAAGCGUGGGGAGCAAACAGG